rnacentral:tRNA from 1 species
GUUUCCGUAGUGUAGCGGUUAUCACGUCUGCUUCACACGCGGAAGGUCCUCGGUUCGAUCCCGGGCGGGAACA